GAUAGACUUCUGCAGUGUUCUACACACAAGCUGAAGAAUAUGUAUGAGAGUGUAGAUGAAGACAUGAGACUCAGAGAAGUUAAGUAAUUUGUUCAAGGCGGCGCACCCAAUAGGUUCUUGUUCACAAGACUGUUGCAGAGAACACAGUUUUUGUGGAGAUUCUGAAAAUUCAAAAACCCUCAAAUUUAAUAUACCAGAGGUGGAUAAGAAAUAAUUAACAGCAGACAUAGAACUCAUUCUCUCUCUACUGGCAACUACCCAGAAGAACAAUGGUUACAAUAAAAUUACGUUGUGAACAAGUUAAUGACCAUAUAUCAAAGCCUUCAUGUUAGUAUCAUUCACUAGCAGAAAGAU